UUUAAGCUUUGGAACUGAGGGAAAGAAAAAGAAAGGAAUAGAAGUCUCAAGGCCGGGGCUGGAAGUAACGGCAGCGCGCUGGUGAUUCUCACUGUUCACGCCAGGAACCACCCCAUCACCCCGCCCUGGUGGGAGGCAACGCCCUCUUCUCCUUCACUGACACCUGGGCUCUCCUCACCUCGGUCUCUGCAGCCCAA
rnacentral:lncRNA from 1 species